AAAGCGUGCGCAGGCGGUUUUGUAAGUCUGACGUGAAAUCCCCGGGCUCAACCUGGGAAUUGCGUUGGAGACUGCAAGGCUAGAAUCUGGCAGAGGGGGGUAGAAUUCCACGUGUAGCAGUGAAAUGCGUAGAGAUGUGGAGGAACACCGAUGGCGAAGGCAGCCCCCUGGGUCAAGAUUGACGCUCAUGCACGAAAGCGUGGGGAGCAAACAGGAUUAGAUACCCUUGU
rnacentral:rRNA from 1 species